UGGUGGAGUGAUUUGUCUGGUUAAUUCCGUUAACGAACGAGACCUCGACCUGCUAAAUAGUUUGGCAAAUCUUUCGGGAUUUGUUCACGCUUCUUAGAGGGACUAUCGGUGUGUAGCCGAUGGAAGUUCGAGGCAAUAACA
rnacentral:rRNA from 1 species